UUUCAGAGGGUGCAGCCUAUUGUAGUUGACCCAGCUACAUACCUAUCCAGGAGAAGCCAAAUUUUUCAUGCUACAGAAAAGCGGAGAACUGCUGACGCUUUUAAAGUUUUCACAGGCACAGUCUCUAUCCUCUCUCUCUCAUUCUUUGUUAUACUUUCUAUCUGAGCUUUUUCAAAUAAUUUGAAAACAAUAAUAUAUUGGAUGAAAUAAUUUGAAGACGAUUCAAAUUGUUUGUAGUGUUUUAAUCUGAAGAAAAUUCGAAUCUGUGUUAUUCUUCCUUCCUGUUAAUACGUAAAAAUAUGGUCUAAUUACAAGUUCUAAAUUAUUCGUGCCUUUCUUAUUUUAUUUUAUUUUUUAAAAUUUUAAACAGCUAUGGCUUCUAUUUAAUAUGUGGCUGGUAAAAUAUUUUUCUUUCCUGGCCAAUAACGCAAUAAAUUUUUGAGUUAGAUUCUCAACAACCCUAUGAUGGCAAAUAUCUUAAUCAAUACAUGAUAGACAAGUUAAAAGAACUCGUUAAUAUUCGUUGACACAGCAAAGCUGCCUGGGAAUAUUUAGAGUACUUCGAAACAAUUCCAUUCUCUUAGUACAAAUUAAUAUCAUACUGGCAGAGACCUUGGUGAAGAAACAGAGAUGGUCGGCCAUGUUUGGAAGCUCAAAAAGUAGUACAAUAAAAACUGCGAGAUCCUUUUAGCCAUAAAAUUAGGAUUUUGCAUAGAUGAAGAGGAGCACUUGACGUAUUGAACGGCGGAGAUCUGAUUGUAGAGCUGAUGUUACGCGAUGAUUAAUCUUUUGCCAAAACAUAAACAGAGCCUAAAACAGAGCCUUAGGCUAUUGUGUUUGGUUUUGGGGAGAGUGGAAGGUGCUCUGUGGCUCCACUGGUUUUUGGUAGUGCGCCUGCGUCUUCGAGUUUGGGUCGUGUUAUGAAGGUGCGUUUGGUGCGGUGAUGCUUGACAAAGGGAAGCUCGAUAUGUCUCAGAAGCAAUUCAAGUCCAGCCCUGAGAUCUCUCUCAUGUAUUCUCCUCCAUUAGAAGAGAUCUAAAUUUCAUUGAUCAUACCAGUGACCUUGGAUGGAAAGAAUUUCAGAGGGUGCAGCCUAUUGUAGUUGACCCAGCUAUGUACCUGGCCAGGAGGAGCCAAGUUUUUCAUGCGUCAGAAAAGUGGAAAACUCCUGAUGCUUUUAUAAGUUUUCACAGGCAC